UACAGAGGUCCCGAGCGUUGUUCGGAUUCACUGGGCGUAAAGGGCGCGUAGGCGGCGGGGUAAGUCGGGUGUGAAAUCUCAGGGCUCAACCCUGAAACUGCACUUGAUACUGCUCUGCUUGAGGACUGGAGAGGAGACUGGAAUUCACGGUGUAGCAGUGAAAUGCGUAGAUAUCGUAAGGAAGGCCGGUGGCGAAAGCGAGCCUCUGGACAGUUACUGACGCUGAUGCACGAAGGCCAGGGGAGCAAACGGG
rnacentral:rRNA from 1 species